ensembl:lncRNA
GCAUUUAAGCGACUUGGAACGUGGUGGAGUAUUUCAGAAACUCCUCAUCUACUAGGACUUUCAUAUCACGCACAUCUCCCGGGAAUUCGUACGGUAGCCGAAAGGGCGGUGCUUGGCGACCGCAAAUCCAUAUAAACCCGCCUGUCGCGUCGCCGAUUCAGAAAUUCGAAAGCCAAUCAUGUGCGCGAUUCCAUCUUUCAGCAGCGAAUCGUCUGCGUGAUUCAAUCUUUCAACAGCCAAUCGUCUGCGUGAUUCAAUCUUUCGACAGUGUUUCCCGGUUUAAAUUAAACUGCGGUCUCAAUCUUUGGAAAAGCCAAUCGAUCCGAGAGUUUAUUUAGAAUUUAAAAAUCUGCCCGCUGUUUAUUACGGACAUCUCCGUGGAUUUUGACAAGGUACGUGCGCAAAUUGAGGUCUGUUAUUCGUUACGGUUUUUUUUUUCAUUUCACAUAAAAUAUCACCGUAAAUGCUCAAUGCAAUAUGUCCAAGUCAUGUCAGGCAUUUGUAACGCUAAUGUAACUUGAUCAUCGGGAGUUUUGCAAUAAAGUUUGUGCAGUUGCUGCCGGAGCUUUAGCUGGUUGUAUUUUUUUCUGCCGAUGAAAUUGCUUGUUUUCUUUGGCAGUUGUACGCUGGAGUGCGUCGUUUCUGAUUACUUGUUAUGUUAUGGUCUCCACUACCUCCAGCAGUGCCUCCUCCACCUCCAGCCGUGCCUCCUCCACCUCCAGCCGUGCCUACUCUUCAGUCAUCUACAGUUUUGCUUCAGCCCCAGCUUCCUUCUUCCAUGUCCUCUUCACAACAGGAUGCUGUAGACAACCGCAACAUUCCUGGAACGGACCGUGUAGAUGAACUGGCUGAAUACUUGGUGGAGCUACGAGAACAGACAGGAUUGACCCUGAACAAUCAACAAGUUAGCACCAUUCUGGGUUUGCGGCAGAGUCUUGACAAAUUUGACAAAGACAGGAUUGUGUAUGCUGCAAGACAUCAGGACCGGUUGCUAACUGGGCACUUCAGGUCUCCUAAAAAGAAGGCUGUGUUCACUCCUGGGGUGGAAAGCACAAAACGGUGUGUUCUUGGCUCAAGUGGUUCACCAGCUCAGUGGCCAAACUGCUGUCGCCUGAUAGAGACCAUCUUCGCGAGGCUGUGCAACAUUCAUACGAGCCCCAAAAAAGAGGACAACACAGCGUAUCUCGAUGGUCUCUAAUUUUACAGGAUUACAAAAAGAUCCGGAAGCUGGUUCUGUGCAAUGGGACACUAAUGCAGCAGACAACCCUUCAACGUGUUGUAGUGAACCAGACCACCCUCAUGCAGUGGAAUAACCAACGGCUGAAGGGUCAGGAGGCGUCUGUUCUUUUGCAAGGUGUGCAACGGCCAGUGGCAGCUGACCCACUGCCCUUUGCAAAAACAAAACCCAUCUCUCUGCCACAGUACCAACAACAGCCCCCAGUUACCAGCUGCACACAUACCAUAUGCCAGCAAAUACAGCUGGACAGGCAAAACCUAGGUUACGGCAAAUUGAUCCUGCAGUUGCCUCCAGUGGACCAUCAGCCACCCUCUUCAGUACAAAGGAAAAAUAUACUGUCCAAACACUGAGGCUCUCACCAAAGAACAGUGGCUGAAGCAGAUGAGACAGUAAUGCAGUAUUGUUACUUUUAAUAUGCUUAUCCCUGUGGCCUGUUCUGCCCUUUGAGUUCCACUGCAAGUUUUACAUCUUAUUUCAUAGUUGUAUCAAGGUUUCAUUGGGGUUUGAUUUGUUUCUUUGACAAUUUCAGCUUUAUAAAUGCUUAAAUGUGAAUGUCAUUUUGUUCACAAUUGUACAUACAUAUUGUCUUUGUUAUAAAUUAAAAGUUUUACAAACCAUUGGGAGAGCGUUAGACUGAAGAUCUAAAGGUCCCUGGUUCGAUCCCGGGUUUCGGCAUUUUCCUGCCGAAACUUUUUAAGUGAUUGUAGAGGCAUAUCAAAUAAAUUAUUACAUUAUUCGGUUUUAGAAGAUUCUAAUCAGAAAUAGCUGAAGAGGGCUGUAGGGGAGCCUCACUAAAACGGCUGGAGUUGUGUCAGGCUCUCAUUUUACAGAUGAUGCAAUUCUUGAAUUCAGCAAAAACAAAAUACAAAAGGACUUGUACAUCUCCCAGUUUAGUUGUAAAUGCAAAAAAAAAAAAAGAAUCAUAGUCCGUCGUGCAUUAUUUUUUAUUAUAAUACUCAUUUCAAAGCAGUAGCAUUGCAGCUGUAAAGCAAAAUGUCAAAAGAAAAACUCCACUUUAUUAGGUCUACCUGUUCAAUUGUUAACACAAAUCAGCCUAACUUUAAAUAGAAGUUCAAAGCGAGCAUCAGAAAGGGAAGAGAGGGCAUUUAAGCGACUUUGAACGUGGUGGAGUAUUUCAGAAGCUCCUCAUCUACUGGGACUUUCACGCACAUCUCCAACUGAAAGGAUGGCUGAUGGUCCACCGUAUUCACCGUAACCUAGGUUUUGCCUGUCCAGCUGUAUUUGCUGGCAUAUGGUAGGUGUGAAGCUGGGGGCUGGCGUUGGUACUGUGGCAGAGAGAUGGGUUUUGUUUUUGCAAAAGGGCAGUGGGUCAGCUGGCCGUUGCACACCUUGCAAAAGAACAGACGCCUCCUGACCCUUCAACCGUUGGUUAUACCACUGCAUGAGGGUGGUCUGGUUCACUACAACACGUUGAAGGGUUGUCUGCUGCAUUAGUGUCCCAUUGCACAGAACCAGCUGCCGAGAUACGCUGUGUUGUCCUCUUUCUUUGGGGCUCGUGUGAAUGUUGCACAGCCUCACGAAGAUGGUCUCAAUCAGGCGACAGCAGUUUGGCCACUGAGCUGGUGAACCACUUGAGCCAAGAACACACCGUUUUGUACUUUCCACCCCAGGAGUGAACACAGCCUUCUUUUUAGGAGACCUGAAGUGCCCAGUUAGCCACCGGUCCUGAUGUCUUGCAGCAUACACAAUCCUGUCUUUGUCAAAUUUGUCAAGACUCUGCCGCAAACCCAGAAUGGUGCUAACUUGUGGAUUGUUCAGGGUCAAUCCCGUCUGCUCUCGUAGCUCCACCAAGUAUUCAGCCAGUUCAUCUACACGGUCCGUUCCAGGAAUGUUGCGGUUGUCUACAGCCUGGAAAAUAAAAACUGAUAUUUAGGUUCUCUGGCAUCACAAUUUCCUUGUCACUACUUAAAUUCUUGCAGACAGACAGACAGACUUCAGGGACCCGACGAGAACCCAAAUGCGACACCGGAGUUCGACGGAACACAGCUUUAUUAUCAGGAAUAGACAGCAGACAGGAUUCACUGGGGAGCCGGCAGGAUAGAAUAGUUGGGGAAGGUGGAAGGUGAUCUAUAGAUCGACUGAGAAUUUAUUUAUUUAUCACUUACAUCCUGUUGUGAAGAGGACAUGGAAGAAGGAAGCUGGGGCUGAAGCAAAACUGUAGAUGACUGAAGAGGAGGCCCAGCUGGAGGUGGAGGAGGCACGGCUGGAGGUAGUGGAGACCAUAACAUAACAAGUAAUCAGAAACGACGCACUCCAGCGUACAACUGCCAAAGAAAACAAGCAAUUUCAUCGGCAGAAUAAAAUACAACCAGCUAAAGCUACGGCAGCAACUGCACAAACUUUAUUGCAAAACUCCCGAUGUUCAAGUUACAUUAGCGUUACAAAUGCCUGACAUGACUUGGACAUAUUGCAUUAAGCAUUUACGGUGAUAUUUUAUGUGAAAUGAAAAAAAAAAACCGUAACGAAUUACAGACCUCAAUUUGCGCACGUACCUUGUCAAAAUCCACGGAGAUGUUCGGAAUAAACAGCGGGCAGAUUUUUAAAUUCUAAAUAAACUCUCGGAUCGAUUGGCUUUUCCAAAGAUUGAGACCGCAGUUUAAUUUAAACCAAGAAACACUGUCGAAAGAUUGAAUCACGCAGACGAUUGGCUGUUGAAAGAUUGAAUCACGCAGACGAUUGGCUGUUGAAAGAUUGAAUCACGCAGACGAUUGGCUGUUGAAAGAUUGAAUCACGCAGACGAUUCGCUGCUGAAAGAUGGAAUCGCGCACAUGAUUGGCUUUCGAAUUUCUGAAUCGGCGACGCGACAGGCGGGUUUAUAUGGAUUUGCGGUCGCCAAGCACCGCCCUUUCGGCUACCGUACGAAUUCCCGGGAGAUGUGCGUGAUAUGAAAGUCCUAGUAGAUGAGGAGUUUCUGAAAUACUCCACCACGUUCCAAGUCGCUUAAAUGCCCUCUCUUCCCUUUCUGAUGCUCGCUUUUAACUUCUAUUUAAAGUUAGGCUGAUUUGUGUUAACAAUUGAACAGGUAGACCUAAUAAAGUGGAGUUUUUCUUUUGACAUUUUGCUUUACAGCUGCAAUGCUACUGCUUUGAAAUGAGUAUUAUAAUAAAAAAUAAUGCACGACGGACUAUGAUUCUUUUUUUUUCCGGCAAAAUGCCGAAACCCGGGAUCGAACCAGGGACCUUUAGAUCUUCAGUCUAACGCUCUCCCAACUGAGCUAUUUCGGCUACCGUACUACGUAAUAGACGUAGUAGAUGUUUCCUAAUAAUAUACUACUCUUAUUCAAUUAAUAAAUAUUUGAAAAUGCUGAUGUAUUCUGUCUUAGUUCUGAAUUGCAACGAAUGAGACCGCAGUUUGUUUAGCUGUCGAAAGAUUGACUUCGCUGUUUAAUUGGUUUUUCGAAAGAUCUCCGAUUCGCUGCUAAAAGAUGGAAUCGCGCACAUGAUUGACUUUCGAAUUUCUGGAUCGGCGACGCGACUGGCGGGCUUAUAUGGAUUUGCAGGAUAGAAUAGUUGGGGAAGGUGGAAGGUGAUCUAUAGAUCGACUGAGAAUUUAUUCUUUUAUCACUCACAUCCUGUUGUGAAGAGGACAUGGAAGAAGGAAGCUGGGGCUGAAGCAAAACUGUAGAUGACUGAAGAGGAGGCACUGCUGGAGGUGGUGGAGGCACGGCUGGAGGUGGAGGAGGCACUGCUUAAGGUGGUCAUCAGAAUACCACCAAUACCCUAAUACCCUAAUCAGAAACGACGCACUCCAGCGUACAACUCCCAAAGAAAACAAGCAAUUUCAUCGGCAGAAAAAAAUACAACCAGCUAAAGCUACGGCUGCAACUGCACAAACUUGAUUGCAAAACUCCCGAUGUUCAAGUUACAUUAGCGUUACAAAUGCCUGACAUGACUUGGAUAUAUUGCAUUUACGGAACUUGGUUACCGCAAAUCCAUAUAAGCCCGCUAGUCGCGUCGCCGAUUCAGAAAUUCGAAAGUCAAUCAUGUGCGCGAUUCCAUCUUUUAGCAGCGAAUCGGAGAUCUUUCGAAAACCAAUUAACGAAUCAACGAAAACCAAUUAAACAGCGAAGUCAAUCUUUGGACAGCAAAACAAAUUGCGGUCUCAUUCGUUGCAAUUCAGAACUAAGACAAAAUAAACCGGCAUUUUCAAAUAUUUAUUUGACUAAUAGUAGUAUAUUAUUAGAAAUACCGUUCUACGGUAGCCGAAAUAGCUCAGUUGGGAGAGCGUUAGACUGAAGAUCUAAAGGUCCCUGGUUCGAUCCCGGGUUUCGGCAUUUUGCCAAAAAAAAAAGAAUCAUAGUCCGUCGUGCAUUAUUUUUAUACUCAACUUUAUUAGGUCUACCUGUUCAAUUGUUAACACAAAUCAGCCUAACUUUAAAUAGAAGUUCAAAGUGA